GUGGGGAAUAUUGGACAAUGGGGGCAACCCUGAUCCAGCCAUGCCGCGUGAGUGAAGAAGGCCUUAGGGUUGUAAAGCUCUUUCACCGGUGAAGAUAAUGACGGUAGCCGGAGAAGAAGCCCCGGCUAACUCCGUGCCAGCAGCCGCGGUAAGACGGAGGGGGCUAGCGUUGUUCGGAUUUACUGGGCGUAAAGCGCGCGUAGGCGGCCGGUCAAGUUGGAGGUGAAAGCCCGGGGCUCAACCCCGGAAUUGCCUACAAAACUGACUGGCUGGAGGCCGGGAGAGGAGAGUGGAAUUCCCAGUGUAGAGGUGAAAUUCGUAGAUAUUGGGAAGAACACCAGUGGCGAAGGCGGCUCUCUGGACCGGACCUGACGCUGAGGCGCGAAAGCGUGGGGAGCAAACAGGAUUAGAUACCCGUGUAGUCC
rnacentral:rRNA from 1 species